UACGUAGGGUGCAAGCGUUGUCCGGAAUUAUUGGGCGUAAAGAGCUCGUAGGCGGUUUGUCGCGUCGGCUGUGAAAUCCCGAGGCUCAACCUCGGGCCUGCAGUCGAUACGGGCAAACUAGAGUGUGGUAGGGGAGACUGGAAUUCCUGGUGUAGCGGUGAAAUGCGCAGAUAUCAGGAGGAACACCGGUGGCGAAGGCGGGUCUCUGGGCCUUUCCUGACGCUGAGGAGCGAAAGCGUGGGGAGCAAACAGG
rnacentral:rRNA from 1 species